rnacentral:rRNA from 1 species
GACGAACGCUGGCGGCGUGCCUAAUACAUGCAAGUAGAACGCACAGUUUAUACCGUAGCUUGCUACACCAUAGACUGUGAGUUGCGAACGGGUGAGUAACGCGUAGGUAACCUGCCUGGUAGCGGGGGAUAACUAUUGGAAACGAUAGCUAAUACCGCAUAAUAUUAAUUAUUGCAUGAUAAUUAAUUGAAAGGUGCAAUUGCACCACUACCAGAUGGACCUGCGGUGUAUUAGCUAGUAGGUGAGGUAACGGCUCACCUAGGCGACGAUACAUAGCCGACCUGGGAGGGUGAUCGGUCACACUGGGACUGAGACACGGCCCAGAAUCCUACGGGAGGCAGCAGUAGGGAAUCUUCGGCAAUGGACGAAAGUCUGAACGAGCAACGCCGCGUGAGUGAAGAAGGUUUUCGGAUCGUAAAGCUCUGUUGUAAGAGAAGAACGGGUGUGAGAGUGGAAAGUUCACACUGUGACGGUAUCUUACCAGAAAGGGACGGCUAACUACGUG